UUCAAUUCAGGGAUUAAUCAACCACACUGUAACCGUCUUAAUUGAUUUUCUUUAUUAACUCUCACCUUCAACUAAAGGCUGAUAAGGAAGCGUCUCGCUUGCCCCUGUUCCUAACUGCAUCGCCAAUUAGUUGUAAAAUUGAAUGUUGAAACGAUUAAUUGGAAAUUAAAUGUCAUUGAAUUACAUCAUUUCAAUUAUAGUUAGCGUUAAUAAGUUGUUGCAUUCAGGCGUUGAAAUUUAGUCCGACGGAAGACUAGAAACCAGUACCCGACUCAUGUACUAGCGAUCUCGAGAUUUUCAAUGGCCUAUCAAACUCUUCUUGUUGUAGACGGAAACAACUAGAAGUUAAUCAAUCAAUAUCAGGAGAGGAUGAAGAUGUUACUCCAACCUAUGAAGAGCCUCCUACUCAGCAACGGACUCGCAACCGGCCCAAACAUGAAGCUGAGAUUACAGGAAGGUAAUUUGUUUCACACAUAUGUUUUAGACUUUUAGGGAGUAAAAGGUUGACCAAGAUUGAAUUCAGUGUUCAUUAUUUGAAUGUGUUUCAAACGAAAUAAUCUUUACUAUGAUAUUAUGCUUCAUUUUACAUGAUCUUGUAAUUUAAACCAAGUUAUAUGUAGAGUUCUGUGAUUACAUCAGCAAUUUAAUUGUAGUAGACGACCAUAUAUCCAAAAGAUUUAGUUUGAGAUUUGUCAACUUUCUUGAUGCUUUGUGCUUGUAGAUUUCCCAACACUACUUCAUUGUGUGUCCAGUAUAUACACAUCUGGCAAGAACGAUAGUAUUAUGACUGAACGUGACACUAAUGAAAGGUGAGUGCUUUGUGUCAGUUCGCUAAGUUUGAUUUCACAAUAUAUACAAGCAAACAUAUGAAAAAACUUGUAACUGGGAAUUCGAGCAACAUACAAUAUGACUUGUAAGAAAUAUGAAGAUAGUUAUAGCAUCCAAAGUGUAGUGAAUAUGGGUCAUAGGUGCCCACAAAUGAAGGUGAAAACAUCUUGAGGUCAGUAAGAAGAAAGAAAAGAGUUGUAGUGGUCACAAACAAGCCACAAAAAAGCAUUGGGGUGGCCUCUUUAUAUCAAGACAGAUAUUUUCCUGGUUUUCUGACUAUAGUUGAUUAUGUGUCAUCCAUCCUAGCAUGUUUGCUAACAUUAUUAAAGAUAAAAUAUAUACCACCGGUAGCAAUGAAGUUAACACAAUACUUGGUGUGUGAAUUUUUGACAUCAUAGAAACUAACAUAAAGUUCGGGGGGAAACAAGUUUCGUCUGCUUUUGGGUGGAAACCAUGUUCACGUAUAGCUUAACGGAUCUAAUUCAAGUCAGCCUGUUGGGUUCGCAGGUUAGCCCGUAAUGAUGGACAAUCUCCUCAAGGUUUGUCAAAUUUAUGGGAAAGGAAGUAUUUAAUCAUUUAGUAAUCUAAAACAUCAUCUCUUUUUGACUGGUAGCAUUGUAAGAAACUUAAAAGAUCAGUUUCAACAUAAAUAUAAGUAUGAUUUUAUAAAAAUAAAAUGUACAGAAUUGCAUUAAAUAGAAAUUGAAAAAGACAAAAAGUAACUAAGAAUAAAUGAUUAUUCCCUUAAUUUUUAUAUUAUGCUUCUGCGGAUCGGUGAUUGGGCGUAUCUGUGUGUUGCCCAAGACUGGGCUUCUAACCAGGCUUAACUGGGAUUGAUUUCAGCCGCUAAAAACUGACUUAUGAGCUCAAACAGACCUAUUAGGCCCGUGUUUCUUUUUGGUCCCAGCCUCGGACCAUUUGUGCAUAUCUAUCCUUGCCUAAUAUUGUUUAAUGGUGAUCUUACUUAAGAUGAGAAUAGUGUUAAUUAAACUUCAUAUACAAACUUUAUUAUGAUUUAUGAUAC
rnacentral:lncRNA from 1 species